UAUCUUGGUAAAUUACGUCAUCCAAUUAUUAAUCUUAUUUAAUUGUAAAAAGUUUUUAUUGUAGUAGUGGAUGAACAACUGUGAAGAGCCAUAGAAUUUUUUUUUCUAAGGAUAAGCUUCGAUGACGGAUUGAACUGCACGUGUCGGUUUAACGUUGAAUCGUGUAAAACCAGAUUGUCGAAGAACAUAGCUCCAUUCCUUUAAGGUCCUCUCUUUCCCUUUAUUUGUAAUAGCCAUCAGCGCCGUGUCUAGCAUCAACCCUACGCCACCUAGCUCGUCGCCUUCUUUAUCUUCUUCAAGAACUGCUUCAACGAUUAUAACCUUCCCUUUAUCUUCUGGAAUGGCUUCUCGACAUUUUUUUAGGAUUUUAAUGCAUUCCUCGUCGUCCCAAUCAUGCAAUACCCACUGCAAUGUGCAAUGUAUGGAUUAAUCGUAUAAGACCAUAUAAUGAAGGGAAAGAAAGUACUAACCAUGAGAAACGCUGCGUCGGCGUUUGGGAUAGACAUGAACAUGUCUCCUCCUACGUUUUCAAUGCUAUCGGAUUUUGCUGAAACGGCGACGACAUGAGGGAGAUCAAAGUUGAUGCCUCGAAUCCAUGGGAAUGCCUUGACUAAAAGGCUCAAAGCAGUCCCGUUACCACCACCAACAUCGACCAGGCUUUCGACUCCGUCGAACACUUCGGGACAUCCUUCGAUUGUCGCCUGCACCGUCAGUCUAGCAUGGCAACCCAUGGCGUUGUUAAAGAGUUCUCUAAAGUCGGGGUUCGCCUCGGUGUAGCUCCAUAGAUCUUUCCCAUUUGCUACUUCAAAUGGUGAGAUAUUAUUGCCGGUUUCAAGGACUCGAGCACUAAGACUAUGCCAGGGUGCUAAGCAAGUAGGGCUGGACAUGAGCAAUAUGAAAGCAGCCAUGGAUUUUUCUCCACCUUUUAGCAAACAACGAGACAAUGGCGUCGAUGAGAAGCCUACAGUGUGUUGGUUGAUGGGUUCCUGUUUGAAUAUUCGGUCGUGGACCAUGAACCUCAUAAUGCGAUGAAGACGCGACGGUUCGCAUCGGAGGGCAGUGGCUAGCUCGGAUAGUGGCAUAGGUCUUCCAUAGUUUUCAAUAACGUCGGCAAUCCCAAGCUCAAUGGCACAUUUAACGACAGCUAUUUUAACAUAUCCUAACACAUAAUUCCAAAUCUUUAUUUCAGCUCUAACUUCUUCCUUUAUUGUCACUUCCAUAUCUCCCAUCUUUUUUUAUUUGAGAAGUUUUGAUAACUCUAUGCCCAAAUCUUGACUAUGAAGCUAAGAUUUAUAGAAGCAAAGGCAUUGGUUAUUGUUCGUGGGAUAUUCUCACAUUUUUCAUGCCAUUCACUUUUGCUGCCCACUACUUUGUUUAUGUGGUAGUGGGUGCAAGUGUGCGAUGAAAAGCAGGGAUACAUUUCCACACCACCCAACGAACUUUACACAUGUCCCUACCCUAUCCGUUUCUAUGGUGACGUAGAAUCUAAUCAAUCUCCACAAAAUCAGACACAGGAUCUUUCAUUUUUUGGACAUGACACAGCUCAUCAUCUCAUAUUAUCUAAAAUUAAAAAAUAUUUUAAGAAAAUAAUAAUUUUUGAAAAAGAAAAAUACAAUUUUACAAAUUAUUGUUAUUUUAUCUUUUUUUUUCGUGUUAGUCUUCGUCCAUAAUGUUUAUCGAUGCUUAUCAAAUUAUUUACCCUAAAUAUUUAUUGUCACUCUUCGAGUAUAAGACUUAUUUCAUUCGAACUUCGUUAAAACCUAAAUUAGAGUGAUUUAUUAUUGUUUAAAUUUGAAUAUAUUUCAAUUUUUAAUUUAUUAUAUUUUUUAAUUGAUUUAUUCUAAUUCUAAUUGAUAAAAUAUGUAUUAUUUGUAAUUUAUAAUAAACUUUUUUUAAUACGAUACAUAAUAAAAUUUUAAAAAUAGAAUAUAGUGUAAUCAAGUACAAUCACGUAUGUAUGAUGAUGUAUAAGGAAUUAUAAAGUUGAAUUAAACUAAUAUAAACUACAAAUAAAUUAAGAAUCGGAAUAAUUUGAACUAAAACUCACAUAGAACAAUUGAGCAUGAAGAGAUUCAAACUUUAGUACACAAGAUAAAACCUUGAUCUUUAUCAACAAUUUCGAAACUUACUUUAUCCGGAUUAAAAUAAUAAUCAUAUUUUAAUUAUUUUUCGCAUUCAAUCCAAAAUUAUUCCAGAGAUAGAAUUGAAGAUUGAAAUAAUUAUUGAACAAAGGGAAUUACUAAACGAAGAGCAAGACUGAAACAUUUCUCAUGCAACAAUGUUUUAAUUGUUUUGUAGUAGUGGAUGAACAACUGUGAAAAGCCAUAGAUUUUGUUUUCUAAGGAUAAGCUUCGAUGACUGAUUGAACUGCAUGUAUGGGAUUAACAGUGAAUCAUGUAAAACCAGAUUGUCGAAGAACAUAGCUCCAUUCCUUUAAGGUCCUCUCUUUCGCUUUAUUAGUAUGAGCCAUCAUCGCCAUGUCUAGCAUCAACCCCACAAAACCUAGCUUGUCGUCUUCUUUAUCUUCUUCGCGAACUGCUUCAACGAUUAUAACCUUCCCUUUAUCUUCUGGAGCGGCUUCUCGACAUAUUUUUAGGAUUUUAAUGCAUUCCUCGUCGUCCCAAUCAUGCAAUAUCCACUGCAAUUUGCAAUGUAUAGAUUAAUCGUAUAAGACCAUAUAAUGAAGGGAAAAAAAAGUACUAAUCAUUAAAAAGGCUGCGUCGACGUUUGGGAUAGACAUGAACAUGUCGCCUCCUAUGUUUUGAAUGCUACCGGACUUUGGUGCAACGGCAACGACAUGAGGGAGAUCAAAGUUGAUGCCUCGAAUCCAUGGGAAUGCCUUAACUAAAAGGCUCAAAGCAGUCCCAUUACCACCAUGAAACAACUUUGGACGUCACGAAUCUGAAAACCAAAAUUCGAACAAUUUUUUUCUCUGAUCUCCGACAUUGGUUGUUAGAUCGACUUAGAUCUAAGAUAUGUUCUGCUACUCGUCAAUGGGUAUUGAUCCACCAUAUCGAUCGUUGAAUCGUUACUUGGAGCUUGCUGGCAGAACUUAAAAAAAAAUUUAACAGCCUAUUGACUUAAAUAAAAACUUUUAAAUAGUUCAGUGACUUAAAUGAAAACUUUCAAAUAGUUCAGUGACCGGAUUGUAACCCUUUUUUAGUUAAGUGACCAAAAUGAAAAGCUACCCAUAGUUUAGUGACUAAUAGUAUAGCUUACCCUACUUUAAUUUGGUCAAUUUUAGUACAUUUUUUUUGAAUUUUGAACUUCAGAUUGAAUUGCAAACUAUAGAAGUUAAAUUCAUUAUGUCAAAUUCUGCUAUUAGUUUUGUACUAUACGUAAGUUUCGGAUUUGGUCUCAAUUCUCCAAUUUGAUCAUUUUAAUCAUUAUACCUUUCUUAUUUUGAAAUUCUAAUCAUGGUUCAUAUGGUAGUUGACAUAACACUACACACAUGAUAAUAUGUUUGUCGUAUAGAAAUUUGGAAAUGUCAAAAUUUAACAACUGAAAUUUUAAAAUUUAAAAAGUACAAGGACUUAAAAUUAUCAAAUUAGAGUACAAAAGCUAAUUUUACAAGUUACAUAUAUUAUAGGGACUAAUAGUGGAUUUUGAUCAAAAUCAUGUUUUUAACAAAAAGGACAACUUUCUGAAUUUAAAAGGUUACAAUGUGAAGUUAGUUCUGUAUUUUGAUAAAAUUUGAGAAUUAGUCUUGUAAUUGAAAAUUUAACAAAUUAAGUCCUCCUAAUUUUAUAAUUUGAAAUUCACAAUCUAAUUAUUAACAUUGUUAGUAUUUUUUGUCAAAAUUUGUCAACUUGGCAUAUUAGACUACCCUAAUAUGACGUGGUAUAUGAUUGACAAAAAAUAUAUAUACUAAAUUGAAAAAUUCUAACAUAGGUUACCAACAAUGAUAAUGAUUGGACUUAUAUUUCUAAAUUGGAAAAAAAAUAGUUGGAUUGAAUUUUUAACUUUUAAAGUAGAGGGACUAAAUAUCAUAUUCUGCAAAGUACAAGGACUAAUAUCAUAUUUUAACGAAUUAUUAAGUAAAUUUGGCCCAACCCAAAAGCCCAUCUGAUUACGACCCUUUCUACUUCUACCAUUGUACAUAAGGCUAUUUCCACAGUGUUUCUGCUAAUAUUCCAUCACUUUCUCGGGAAAAUCAACGAUGGCAGAUUGGACCCAACUCCCCAAGGAACUACUAGAACUUAUUUCCAAACGCCUAGGAACCCACUAUGACGUCAUCCGUUUCCGUUCCGUUUGCUCCACCUGGCGCUCCGCCGUUACUGCCCACAACCGCUGCCGCAACCGCUUCGCUCCCCGUUUCCCGCUUCUCCCUAUUUCCUCCCAAUUCUCCCUCUCAAAGCGCUCCGUAUUCCUCCUCGGAUCACCCACAACUAGUACCCAAACAAACGCUUCUAGCCCCUCCUCGUGGGUAAUCAAAAUCGAAGAAGAUCCGAUGAACGGCAGAGUCCAGCUUUUGAACCCUCUCUCAAGGUCUCGUUUCGAUUCUCUCCCUGAUAAUUUCCCCAAACCUUUAAAUUUGUUGGAUUUUAGGGUUCUUGAAUUGGGUGAAGAGUAUGUGCUUCAUUAUUUAACUCAUCACAGUGUGGGCAACUUGUACAUGGAAAAAGUUGUCCUAUCUUGUUUAGAUGAUAAUGUUAACGAUUUCAUUAUACUUACAAUUUAUGUUUCUGGGAAAUUAGCAAUGUUUAAAUCUAGUGUUAAGAAAUGGGCUAUAAUUUAAGACAUGCCAUCUCCUUUUGACGAUGUGAUAUUAUAUAAAGGGAAUUUUUAUGCUGUUGAUAAUACUGGUAGGACUGUGGUUGUGGGAUUGGAUUUCGAGACAAAUUUGAUUGCUAUGCCUGUUUUUGGUGGUGAUAAGAAGUUUUUGGUUGAUUCAAAGGGUGAGUUAUUGUUGGUUGAUAUGUAUUUGAGCAUUGAAUCUGAGCCAGGUUUGUCUUCUUCUUCUGCCGGUUUCGGGUUCGUCGAGGAGUAUUUUGAAAACCUUGCUUUGUAUAUGAACGAGAGGACGGUUAAGUUUAAGGUUUUUAAGUUGGAUGACGUUGAUAAGCAGUGGGUUGAAGCUAAGGAUUUGGACGAUCGCGUGUUGUUUUUAGGUGAUGGUUGCACCUUUUCUGCUUCAAUAGAAGAUUUAUCCGUGUGUAGAGGGAAUUCCAUAAUCUAUGUGGAUAAUUUCUUUCAUUCGCUCGGGGAAGAAGAUGGGGCGUCGGAGCAUUGUGAUGUAGGCGUAUUCGAUUUGGAAAGCGGUUCUAUAGGACCAUUAACAAAGGUUCCUCAAUCUUCCGAGCUAUUCUGGCCACCACCUCAUUGGAUUUCAUCCACAGCAGCAUCGGAUGUAAGUAUUUUUGUUUUGCAGUGUUGAACUUUGGGUCGAGUUUUUAUUUAUAUAUAGUUCUGUAUACUAUUGCAAUAGCCAUGAAGAUCUUUAAGCAUCAGAAUCCCUAAGUAGAAUCACGUAAAAAACUGGUGAAACUCCCCGGAAAGCUUUUUGAGUCGUGUUUAUGCUUAAUGGUAUAGGCAUGCUAGCUUCAAACUAUGUCUUGAAAUGCCAUGCAUCUAAUGUUAACUUACUGAAAAUGCCAAAGAGAAGUCUAAAUCGAAUGCGGAUCUCUUUCAUAUGCCGGGUUAAGGGGCGUUACAAAUGCUUUCAAAACAAUUGGGAAAAUCCCAUUGCCAAAUUUGAUGUGAAAAUGGCAAUAUCCCUUAUUUUCUUGGUAAAUUACACCAGCAGUCAUCCAACUAUUAAUAUAUUUUUUUGGUUAUUUAAUUAUGAAAAGUUAUGAAAUGAUCACACAAUAAUUAGUAAAUUUCUUUUUCGGUCACCCAACUAUGAUAAGUUACGAAAUGGUAUCCAACUAUUUAAUUUUAUCUUUUUUGUCGCCGGCUGGCUAACUUGACAACUUUUAAAAUUAGCUCAAUAGUAACUUUAACCGUUAAUAUUUAUCUAUUAUGUUAAUUUAGUUUUGAUUCCAAAAAAAAAAACUUAACGCUUAACAUUUACACAUGGUGUAAUUCGAACUUCUUCUCUUUUUUUUUUUUUUUUAAAUUUUGUGUUUUUUUAUAAUAUUGAGAGUUAAUUUUAAAAGAAAGAAAAAUGAUAAAAGUUAUUAUUUAGAGUUUUUGGGUGUUUUCAUUUUUUUGUUUAUUUUCAAUCAAAUUUAGCUAAUAAAUUAGACUUUUAGCUUUUUAGGUAAAAAGAUUACAAAGAACAAGAAAAUUGCAAAAAAAAAAUCUAAAUAUUGAGGGUUAGAUUUUUUAGAAUCAAGACUUGACACAAUGUUAAAUGUUAAAGUUGCUAUUAUGCCAAUUUUAAAAGCUACAAAAAAAUGAUAAAAUUUAAUAAUUAAAUAAUUAUUUUAUAACUUUAUAUAAUUGGGUAAUCAAAAUAAAAUUUAUUAAUAUUUAAGUGGAUAUUUAUUUAUUUAUUUAUUUUUCAGUUCUAUAAACAAACAAAUGGUGGAUGGAAUUUAAUCUCUCUCCACAAAAUCAGAGACGGGUUCUUUCUUUUUUUGGACAAUGGUUACCCAAAAUAGCGAAAAAUUGUCACAUAAAUGUUCUAUAUAAUUAGUGCCUCCACUAAACAGCUCAUCAUUUCAUAUUUAUCUAAAAUUGUGUUAUAGAUAUUUAUAGGGCAUCUUAGAUGGAUUAACGCUUCUUUUGAAAAAGAGUUAUGAUUUUGUAAUAAUCCAAAUUGAUAGUAUGGAAACAGUUCAAGUUAUUAAAGACGAGGCUUGUAAGGACUUGGGCUCAACUUUAAUAAGAAGAAAUCAUCAAUUUUUGCCUAGUAUUAGACAUUGGGACAUUUGUCACAUUUCGAAGGAAAAUAAUGGAGAAGCCGAUGAAAUUGCUAAACUAGUUCAAGAAAGGAGAGAAGGUCUUCAAGUGUUUGAAGUGUCCCCAUUAGAGAGUUAGUUUUAUUUUAUCGUAAUUUUUAGGUUUUGUAUUUUCACUAAAUUUCUUUUAAGAAAAUAGAAAAUAAUAAUUUUUGAAAACCCAAAGUACAAUUAUAUUAAAUUUGUGAUUUCAUCCAUAAUGUUUAUUAAUAUCUAUCAAAUUAUUUGUCCUAAUCAUUUGAAAUUUAGGCUUAGUUUGGAUUGGUGAUAUGUUUAACUGUAGUUAGUGUAAAAACAACGGUGGCGGUGACAUUAAAUACUAUAGCGACACUGUAGUGUGAGACAAAAAAUAAAUUAAAAACACCGCACCUAAUUACCCAUCCAAACCCACCUUAGUUAGUUACAAUCUAAAAUGAAAUAUAUAUUAAUAUACUAAUAUAUUAUAUCGGUGUUUUGUUCAGUUUUAUUAUGGUUUAAAUUCAAAUAUAUUUCAAAUUUCAAUCUAUUAUAUUUUAUAUUGAGUUAUUCUAAUUUUAAUUUUAAUUUUAUUAUUUGUAACUUAUACUAAGUUUUUUUAAAAAAGUAACUGAUACUCGUAAAUUCUUUCGAAAAUAAAUUAUGAUAAAUUAUAACAGCACAAAUCGCGUUACAAACUGAAAUCCUUUGAAUUUUUUUGAAAAAGUUUACAAGUAGAAUAUAGUAAAUCAAGUAUGACUACUAAAGUUAAAUUGAAUCAAUAUAAAUUAAAAUUAAAAUUCACACAGCUUUAGUGUACAGGACUCAAAAUCUCGACUUUUUACCAACAAUGCCAAACCUCUUAUCUGACAUGUAUUUUAAUUAUUUUUCACAAUCAGUCUAAAACUAUUCCAGAGGCAGAAUUAAAAUUGAUAUAUGGAUUCCAACAGUGAUUUUAAAGAAAACCACUCAAAACCAAGAUUUAUUGAUUCCAACAAAAGACUGAUGUUUUUAGCCAAAACUAAAACAUUUCUCAUGCAACAAAGUUUUUAUUGUAGUAGUGGAUGAACGACUGUGAAGAGCCAUAGAAUUUUUGUUUCUAAGGAUAAGCUUCGAUGACGGAUCGAACUGCACGUAUAGGUUUAACGUUGAAUCGUGUAAAACCAGAUUGUCGAAGAACAUAACUCCAUUCCUUUAAGGUCCUCUCUUUCCCUUUAUUUGUAAUAGCCAUCAGCGCCGUGUCUAGCAUCAACCCUACGCCACCUAUCUCGUCGUCUUCUUUAUCUUCUUCAAGAACUGCUUCAACGAUUACAACCUUCCCUUUAUCUUCUGGAAUGGCUUCUCGAC
rnacentral:lncRNA from 1 species